CAGUAGUCAUAUGCUUGUCUCAAAGAUUAAGCCAUGCAUGUCUAAGUAUAAGCAAUUUAUACAGUGAAACUGCGAAUGGCUCAUUAAAUCAGUUAUCGUUUAUUUGAUAGUUCCUUUACUACAUGGUAUAACUGUGGUAAUUCUAGAGCUAAUACAUGCUUAAAAUCUCGACCCUUUGGAAGAGAUGUAUUUAUUAGAUAAAAAAUCAAUGUCUUCGGACUCUUUGAUGAUUCAUAAUAACUUUUCGAAUCGCAUGGCCUUGUGCUGGCGAUGGUUCAUUCAAAUUUCUGCCCUAUCAACUUUCGAUGGUAGGAUAGUGGCCUACCAUGGUGGUGACGGGUGACGGAGAAUUAGGGUUCGAUUCCGGAGAGGGAGCCUGAGAAACGGCUACCACAUCCAAGGAAGGCAGCAGGCGCGCAAAUUACCCAAUCCUAAUUCAGGGAGGUAGUGACAAUAAAUAACGAUACAGGGCCCAUUCGGGUCUUGUAAUUGGAAUGAGUACAAUGUAAAUACCUUAACGAGGAACAAUUGGAGGGCAAGUCUGGUGCCAGCAGCCGCGGUAAUUCCAGCUCCAAUAGCGUAUAUUAAAGUUGUUGCAGUUAAAAAGCUCGUAGUUGAACUUUGGGCCCGGUUGGCCGGUCCGAUUUUUUCGUGUACUGGAUUUCCAACGGGGCCUUUCCUUCUGGCUAACCUUGAGUCCUUGUGGCUCUUGGCGAACCAGGACUUUUACUUUGAAAAAAUUAGAGUGUUCAAAGCAGGCGUAUUGCUCGAAUAUAUUAGCAUGGAAUAAUAGAAUAGGACGUUUGGUUCUAUUUUGUUGGUUUCUAGGACCAUCGUAAUGAUUAAUAGGGACGGUCGGGGGCAUCAGUAUUCAAUUGUCAGAGGUGAAAUUCUUGGAUUUAUUGAAGACUAACUACUGCGAAAGCAUUUGCCAAGGACGUUUUCAUUAAUCAAGAACGAAAGUUAGGGGAUCGAAGAUGAUCAGAUACCGUCGUAGUCUUAACCAUAAACUAUGCCGACUAGGGAUCGGGUGGUGUUUUUUUAAUGACCCACUCGGCACCUUACGAGAAAUCAAAGUCUUUGGGUUCU
rnacentral:rRNA from 1 species